rnacentral:rRNA from 1 species
AGUAAAUAGAUACCCCGGUAGUCCACGCCGUAAACGAUGUCGACUUGGAGGUUGUGCCCUUGAGGCGUGGCUUCCGGAGCUAAACGCGUUAAAGUCGACCGCCUGGGGAGUACGGCCGCAAGGUUAAAACUCAAAUGAAUUGACGGGGGCCCGCACAGGCGGUGGGGCAUGUGGUUUAAUUCGAUGCAACGCGAAGAACCUUACCUACUCUUGACAUCCAGAGAACUUUCCAGAGAUGGAUUGGUGCCUUCGGGAACUCUGAGACAGGUGCUGCAUGGCUGUCGUCAGCUCGUGUUGUGAAAUGUUGGGUUAAGUCCCGCAACGAGCGCAACCCUUAUCCUUUGUUGCCAGCGGUCCGGCCGGGAACUCAAAGGAGACUGCCAGUGAUAAACUGGAGGAAGGUGGGGAUGACGUCAAGUCAUCAUGGCCCUUACGAGUAGGGCUACACACGUGCUACAAUGGCGCAUACAAAGAGAAGCGACCUCGCGAGAGCAAGCGGACCUCAUAAAGUGCGUCGUAGUCCGGAUUGGAGUCUGCAAC